rnacentral:misc_RNA from 1 species
AGUAAAAGUCGUAACAAGGUUUCCGUAGGUGAACCUGCGGAAGGAUCAUUAUCGAAAUAAAUCUGAUGAGUUGCUGCUGGUUCUCUAAGGGAGCAUGUGCACACUUGUCAUCUUUAUAUCUCCACCUGUGCACCUUUUGUAGACCUGGAUCACUCUCCGAAUGCUAGCCAUUCAGGAUUGAGGAAUUGACUUCACAUUCUCUUCUUCUAUUUCCAGGCCUAUGUUUCUUCAUAUACCCCAAUGUAUGUCGUAGAAUGUAAUC